AUUGAACGCUGGCGGCAGGCCUAACACAUGCAAGUCGAACGAGUGGCGGACGGGUGAGUAAUGACUGGGAAACUGCCUGAUGGAGGGGGAUAACUACUGGAAACGGUAGCUAAUAACGUAUGGCAUCGGAUGGGCCCAGAUGGGAUUAGCUAGUAGGAGGGGUAACGGCUCACCUAGGCGACGAACCCUAACUGGUCUGAGAGGAUGACCCGCCACACUGGAACUGAGACACGGUCCAGCCUCCUACGGGAGCCAGCAGUGGGGAAUAUUUGACAAUGGGCGCAAGCCUGAUGCAGCCAUGCCGAGUGUAUGAAGAAGGCCUUCGGGUUGUAAAGUACUUUAAGUGGGGAGGCGUUACCCGCAGAAGAAGCACCGGCUAACUCCGUGCCAGCAGCCGCGGUAAUUC
rnacentral:rRNA from 1 species